GAUGAACGCUAGCGGCAGGCCUAAUACAUGCAAGUCGGGCGGGAUCCAUUGAUAGCUUGCUAUCAGUGGUGAGAGUGGCGCACGGGUGCGUCACGCGUGAGCAACCUGCCUCAAUCAGGGGGAUAGCCUCUCGACAGAGAGAUUAACACCGCAUCAUAUCAACACUUCGCAUGUUACGUUGAUUAAAUAUUUAUCGGAUGGAGAUGGGCUCGCGUGACAUUAGCUAGUUGGUAGGGUAACGGCUUACCAAGGCGACGAUGUCUAGGGGCUCUGCGAGGAGAAUCCCCCACACUGGUACUGAGGCACGGACCAGACUGCUACGGGACGCAGGAGUAAGGAAUAUUGGUCAAUGGGCGGUAGCCUGAACCAGCCAUGCCGCGUGCAGGAUGACUGCGCUAUGGGUUGUCAACUGCUUGUGAACAGGAAUAGACCUAAAUACGAGGAUCUAGUUGACUGUACCUGAAGAAUAAGGAUCGGCUAACUCCGUG
rnacentral:rRNA from 1 species